CCCUUAGACGUUCUGGGCCGCACGCGCGCUGCACUGACGGAGCCAGCGAGUAUAAACCUUGGCCGAGAGGUCUGGGAAAUCUUGUGAAACUCCGUCGUGCUGGGGAUAGAGCAUUGUAAUUAUUGCUCUUCAACGAGGAAUUCCUAGUAAGCGCAAGUCAUCAGCUUGCGUUGAUUACGUCCCUGCCCUUUGUACACACCGCCCGUCGCUACUACCGAUUGAAUGGCUUAGUGAGGCUUCCGGAUUGGUUUAGAGAAGGGGGCAACUCCAUCUUGGAACCGAGAAGCUAGUCAAACUUGGUCAUUUAGAGGAAGUAAAAGUCGUAACA
rnacentral:rRNA from 1 species